AGAGUUUGAUCAUGGCUCAGAUUGAACGCUGGCGGUAGGCUUAACACAUGCAAGUCGUGCGAGAAAGUAUCUUCGGAUAUGAGUAGAGCGGCGAACGGGUGAGUAACGCGUAGGAAUGUACCUAGUAGAAGGGGAUAGCCCGAGGAAACUCGGAUUAAUACCGUAUACCUCCUUCGGGAGAAAGAAGGCCUCUCUUUGAAGCUUUCGCUACUAGAUCAGCCUGCGUAAGAUUAGCUUGUUGGUGAGGUAAAGGCUCACCAAGGCAACGAUCUUUAGCUGGUCUGAGAGGACGAUCAGCCACAUUGGGACUGAGACACGGCCCAGACUCCUACGGGAGGCAGCAGUGGGGAAUAUUGGACAAUGGGCGAAAGCCUGAUCCAGCCAUGCCGCGUGUGUGAAGAAGGCCUUCGGGUUGUAAAGCACUUUAAGCAGGGAGAAAAAAAUAUAGGCUAAUACCCUAUGUUCUUGAUGUUACCUGCAGAAUAAGCACCGGCUAAUUCCGUGCCAGCAGCCGCGGUAAUACGGAAGGUGCAAGCGUUAAUCGGAAUUACUGGGCGUAAAGCGCGCGUAGGUGGUUUGUUAAGUUGGAUGUGAAAGCCCUGGGCUCAACCUAGGAACUGCAUCCAAAACUGACUGACUAGAGUACGAUAGAGGGAGGUAGAAUUCAUAGUGUAGCGGUGGAAUGCGUAGAUAUUAUGAAGAAUACCAGUGGCGAAGGCGGCCUCCUGGAUCUGUACUGACACUGAGGUGCGAAAGCGUGGGUAGCGAACAGGAUUAGAUACCCUGGUAGUCCACGCCGUAAACGAUGACAACUAUCUGUUGGGAGGCAAUGCCUUUCAGUGGAGCAGCUAACGUUUUAAGUUGUCCGCCUGGGGAGUACGGCCGCAAGGCUAAAACUCAAAUGAAUUGACGGGGACCCGCACAAGCGGUGGAACAUGUGGUUUAAUUCGAUGCAACGCGAAAAACCUUACCUACUCUUGACAUACUUGGAAGCUCUUGUAAUGAGAGUGUGCUUUUAAGAACCCUGUCUCUUAUACACCACUGACGCUGCCGACUAAUAGAUAAGUAUCU
rnacentral:rRNA from 1 species